rnacentral:rRNA from 1 species
UACGUAGGCAGCAAGCGUUGUUCGGAAUUACUAGGCGUAAAGAGUGUGUAGGCGGUGUUCUAAGUUUGUCGUGAAAUCUCCCGGCUUAACUGGGAGGGUGCGGCGAAAACUGGAAUGCUAGAGGAUGGGAGAGGUAAGCGGAAUUCCUGGUGUAGCGGUGAAAUGCGUAGAUAUCAGGAGGAACACCUGUGGUGUAGACAGCUUACUGGACCAUUUCUGACGCUGAGACACGAAAGCGUGGGUAGCAAACAGG